CACGUAGGAGGCAAACGUUAUCCGGAUUUACUGGGCGUAAAGCGCGUGUAGGUGGUUCUGUAAGUAGGGCGUGAAAGCUCCCGGCUCAACUGGGAGAGGCCGUUCUAAACUGCAGAGCUAGAGGAUGGUAGAGGGAGGUGGAAUUCCAGGUGUAGCGGUGGAAUGCGCAGAUAUCUGGAGGAACACCAGUGGCGAAGGCGGCCUCCUGGACCAUUCCUGACACUCAGACGCGAAAGCUAGGGCAGCAAACGGGAUUAGAUACCCAUGUA
rnacentral:rRNA from 1 species